CCUACGGGAGGCAGCAGUGGGGAAUCUUGCGCAAUGGGCGAAAGCCUGACGCAGCCAUGCCGCGUGAAUGAUGAAGGUCUUAGGAUUGUAAAAUUCUUUCACCGGGGACGAUAAUGACGGUACCCGGAGAAGAAGCCCCGGCUAACCUCGUGCCAGCAGCCGCGGUAAUACGAAGGGGGCUAGCGUUGCUCGGAAUUACUGGGCGUAAAGGGAGCGUAGGCGGAUAGUUUAGUCAGAGGUGAAAGCCCAGGGCUCAACCUUGGAAUUGCCUUUGAUACUGGCUAUCUUGAGUACGGAAGAGGUAUGUGGAACUCCGAGUGUAGAGGUGAAAUUCGUAGAUAUUCGGAAGAACACCAGUGGCGAAGGCGACAUACUGGUCCGUUACUGACGCUGAGGCUCGAAAGCGUGGGGAGCAAACAGGAUUAGAUACCCUGGUAGUCCACGCUGUAAACGAUGAGUGCUAGUUGUCGGCAUGCAUGCAUGUCGGUGACGCAGCUAACGCAUUAAGCACUCCGCCUGGGGAGUACGGUCGCAAGNUUAAAACUUAAAGAGUAGUAGCGNGNGAGAGCGACGACGACGACGACGGAGGAGGAG
rnacentral:rRNA from 1 species